GCCGCAUUUUACAUAUCCUCUUGUCUCGCUCACUCUCUCAUCUCCUAUCGUCUCACUCACACAAACCCUCUUGCCCUUUCCCCUCCCCCCGCCGCAUCACCGCCCGCGUCGACGAGCAGGAAGACCCACUCUCCCCUCCGCCGGCCACCGCAUCGGUCUCCUGCAUCCACUGACCUUGGGGCUGCCUGCUGUGGGCUGCGUGACCGAGCGGGACGGAUGGGGCGCGCUUCCUAGAGCACCUGUGGGUGAUGGAUGCGUUCCCGUUCCGGUCGGAUCCGCGGCGGCGCUACUCUCCGGCGAUGUCGCAGCUGGAUCCGCAACGACGCGUCACUACCUGCAAUGACACAACUCCGGUAAGCCACUACCCAUGCUUGGCAAAUCCAUUCAACGCGGGCUGCUCAGAUCCGCCCCUCCUCGUCUUCUUAGCCACUGAAUUCCUUAUCUGUUCUCUCUGUGCCGCGGCGCCAUGAGCAAACCUCACAUGGACGGCGAGGACAACGACUGCUGGGGGAGGGGAAAACAUCACAAGAAAAGCAUGCAGAAAGGAGGAGGAGACCGGUAGCUAGCUAGCUUCCUCCACUGCAUCGGAAGCCAAAUGUAUUCCCUCGCCUAGUCCAGUCCAGGGAGGGGGCAGAUCAUAUCCGAUGUCAUGGAUUUGGAUCUCAACUGCGCGCCGCCGUCGCCGGAGCCCGCGCCCCAGGACCACCGCCUCGGCCACGCAAUGCUCCGCCAAGAACACGCCUACCGCCACCAGGUCGAGGAACUGCAUAGGCUGUAUUGGGCGCAGAGGAAUCUCAGGCCUGAUGUGCCCUUCUGGGAGCAAUCCCAUGAUGUCCUCUAUCCCACCCAUUCCAUGCCCAUGGCUACUUCCUCCCAAUCCGACAUGUCUCUCUGCUUUGCUGUCAUCUGGGAUCUGCUGGGUGCUUCUUCUCAUGAGCUACGAGGCAAGCAGGCCAUUUGGUGUGGCAAUGGGGUCGCAGGGAAAUUGGGUGUUGAGGGCUCAGUCAGGAGAAAACCUGAUCAUGGUGGUGUACACGGGAGGUCUGGUUACCGCCAUAUGAUCGAUCUGGAGAAACCAGCGACAUCAGAGGACGACGAUGAUGAUGUGGAAAUCUUGUCUCCUGCUCGGUUCAGUGACUAUGCCAAGCGCAAUGCUGGGUUUGCGGAUAAUUCUCAGUGUUAUCCAAGGGAGAAUGCUGCCCAUGUUCAUUUCGGUGGAUAUUUUAGCAGUUCAGCUGUCCAAAAGAGAAAAUGAGUUGCUUCAGCAGAAAACCGAGGUCACGAGAAUAGCGACUUCACUGAAACUGGCUUCUGAAGAUGCUAUUAGAAUUUUUGACGAAGAACGAACUAAUGCACGCAUGGAGAUUGAAAAUGCUAGAGCUGCUGUACAAAGAGUUCAAAAAGUACUUAAAGUGAAAGAGAACAGUUCACAAAUAAUUGGAAAGCAGAAGAGAAAGAUCCAGAAAGUUGCAUACCUAGAGGAACUCGCCUUCUUGAUGCCCCAUGCUUACUGAAGGUCGACAUCGACUAAGUACAAGCGACCGUAGGUCACAAGGAGGCGUGGAACUGCAGCAGCCCAUCUGUGACAGAGCAGACUCCUGCGAAUUUGCCCAGUUAGGUACAUCCGAUACAUGGUAGCAACUUGAAGAAAAUUCUUCCUUUUUGCUUCCAUGACCUGAUAUCCUCCUCGCUGAUGUAUCGAGGAGCCGUGACCCGGCCUCACAGGCAGGGCCAGGGCGAAGACGUAUCCCCGACGGCCAAGACACAACCACGGUGGUGAUUUUUGAUGGUGAGACAGAGCAGACUCGAGCGACUUUGCCCAACCAGUGCAAAUGUGUUCCUUGAUCAACUAAACUUGGUGAAUGUACAAUCAGGAUCAGCCUUGAAGCCUUAUCAUGCAAAGCAUGCAGGAAAUGAUCGUUGGAUUUCAGUAAGACUUGAACAUGAGGUACUGAUCAAUAAGAAAAACUAUUCCUCUCCCAUUUUCGUUACUCUAUUCAGGAGCAGAUAAAAGAUAAUAAGCGUUUAUUCGCUAGCUGGAAUUAAAGGCAAGGCGCGAGAGAGCAAGAUCAAGGACACCUUCAAUAUUUAAGAAUACAUGCAAGGAGUACCUCAGGGGCCUGUGACUGAGCAUGAAACUGCAAGUCGAAAUAAUGUUUGCUUCCAACCCAGUUGGUUCCUGCGGUCCUCUCUACUCCAGCGCUCGCAAGGUUACGAACAACAAGGUUGAAGCAUUCAGGAUGAAGUUUCUUAUGAAAAAAAGGGUGUCCUGGAUCAUUCGGAGGCUGAUUUCGAUCUGGUACGGCCGGGCACUUUUUAUCCAUAUUGAGCUGCAAAAAAAUGCACAACAACAUAUAGCAAAAGACAUAAAUGGUCCUCUUCUAGUUUAACUUUGUCUACAUUAACCUAUAAACCGAAUUCAUGUUUAGAUUGCAUGACAUUGCACGAGGUCAGAUUGUCCUCACCUAGAUGUAUCUACACGUAUCAAAUAUAGAAUCUGAAUUCAUGGCCUUUGCAUGACAUUGCAUGAGGUCACAUUGUCCUCACCUACACGUAUCUACACGUGUCAAAUCAACUAAAAAUGUAUACAUGUACCUAUGCAUGUUUUAGGAUUGCCAGUCUAGCUAUCUUUCCUUGAUAUGUACCAGAGUGUUCCAACAUGAUUUGUAUGUAGCAAAAGACAACUUACUUUAAUGUAUCUUGGUCUCGAAUGCCCAUGAUAAAGUGAAAUAUGUAUUCGAGUGCAUCUUCCACGGCAUGCAUUGGUGGAGGCAGAUGAUCCAUGGGCGCAGGCACAUCCUCCUGGGGCCUGGGAAUAUCCUCCUGGGGCACGGGUGCACCCUCUUGGGGUGCGUGCGCAGCGCUCCCAAUGAUCGCCUCCAUGCGAUAGAAAAUUCGUUCUUGAUCAGAAAUUGCUGAUGGGAUAUAUGUGAACUUAGGUGGAUGGUGAAAUAGUAGGCAGAUGGAGUUUAUCAUUUUGUUACCGUGAAAUCUAAUAUAUUGGAGAGUUGAUAUUGACUUCCAAAUGAUGACCGCCGUUUAAUUAAUGCCGUUAUUCAUUUCCUUGUAGAAAUUAUUAUUAAUUGUGGACGGAUCUUAUAUAUCUCCCAAUAUUAGAUAAUAUCUUCCCAAUUCCAUUAUUUCAGCCCACUUCCUUUACAUGUACAAGCAUUAUUUCUUUAUUAGGAAAAUCAUAUCUCUAGAUUUAAUACAAUCUUAUUUUUCUAUCCCAGACAAAUGAAAUAUUUAAUGUACGAACUCAUAUUAAUGUAUAUACACCGAAGGAUUGCAACGGAAUACGUCUGCUAAUAAAUUAGAUAAGAUGUAAAAGAUCCAAACUUGAUAAAACAAUUUAGUUUAUUUAUUUCCCAAAUCCACGCACAUUUUUUGAUUUUCUCUUUCCUGUUUGAAAAAGACACCUAUUUUUUCGUCCUCUGAAUCAGUUAUUAGUGCCUCCUUUAUUUUAUUAUUUUAUUGUUAUUUAACGUCAUAUCUAGGAAUAUAUGGCUAUUCUGUUUAGAGAAAGUUCAUACAUAGAACACAAAAUAUUUUCGAUUAUAUUAUAUUUGAAAAAGAUGUGACUCCAUUAGAGUAGCUUAAUAAUAAUUUUCUUCUCCCCACCUCAAAUUAGAAAAUGUUGGUCACGUAUAUUGUUUGUCGAAAAAUGCUGGCACCGUAUUGUACUUUAUGUAGUCAAUAAGAAAACACCCUGGCGGGGACUUAUUUUGGUUACUCUAUUCAAUAACACAUACAAGAUAAUCAGCGCGUUAUCAGAAACAAAAUGAACACGACAGAGAUAUGUGGAUCACAUGCGAACUUGAAGAUUAAAGGGAAUGGAAGCAACGUGCCUUAUAACAAACAUGUUUUUUAGUUGGCUAUUCCAUAGCUAGCAUGUGACGAUUUCCGACCCAAUAAUCCUACACUUACGGGGCAUUGGACACGGGAAAGAGGUUACGUGCUAACGUGCCUACUCUUCAUUAAUCUCUUCCACCUUGAAUUUCGUUGAGGGUCCCAUCACUAACUAACCACAGAUUUGCACUUUCAUCCAUAACUCCUUUCGUGUCAAAACAAUCCGUAAGUAUAGCAUUUCCCUUUCCGACCCUUGUAACGUAUAGCAGUGCGUGUAUGGAUGGAGUUACACGAUAUAUGAUGUGAGGGAUGACUGAAAACCUCAUUUGCCGGCUGAACCUGCCAUGGUCCAUUCCAAAAUGCCUCCGGUUCACCGGGAGCAACAAACCUGCUCCUGACCGCACCGGUAUUAUAGUACAAAAUAUACGUAGAAGCCAAAUUAUAUAGAUAGAACCAAAACAAGCAGACAACGUUGAAGCGAAGACGAAGCUAGAGGGUGCAAUCGAAGCAUUUAUUCCCUACAUAUAUAUAAUCCAAUACAUUAUUCAUAUUGCCAAAAGGAUAAAUCUGAUAUUUGAUCCCUAACAAAGCUAUAUUGGCUUAUUAUAUCUGCGACAUUUGAAUAUGCAUCAGUCCAUAGUCAUUCGUCCAAAAACCUCAAGGCCGCUGUAAUUUCAGCUGGGAUGUUUCCAGCUGCUUCAUUGCCUUUGAUCGUCAGCAUCUGGACCAGCAAGUUCUUUCUGAGCUGUAUUGAAUCCUAGAAAACAUAAAAAAAUGAAUUGUUAUAUAUAUGUAGGGAAUAAAUUGCUGAAGAAUGAAUUGCACAACAAACCUAUGUGAGUGGAAGAACAUAAAUUUAUAUUCAACAAAUAUAUGGAAGAGAGAAACUUGAUAUAUAUGCACCUACCAAAGUCCUGGAAAUGUUAUGCCCGAGAGUAUCAUCUUGGUGAGCCAUCUCCUGUAGGAGUUUGAAUCCAGAGUCCAGGCUGUGACAAAAAAACUCCAUAUGUUAGAACCUAUACCAGUGAGGCUAUAAUGUGCAUGACCAAUUAAAAAUAUUACUGCGGGGCUGUAAUAUAGGUAUGAUCUUGUGGCCAAUCCACGAGUUGGGGAUUCAAACCAGGCCUCUCCUGUUGCAAUACACUGCCAAAUUCUUGCAGAACUAUCAGGGCUUCCUUCUUAAGUUCCUUGUCAUGAAAGUCCUCUGAUCCUAGGAAUGACUCGUUAGAAUGAUCAAUCAGGAGAGUCCUCCUAUUUUCAAUAUUAAUUGCAAGGAGGCCGUAGGAGGAAUCCACCAAAUACAACGGCAAUAGGUACUGCAAUAAGUAUACAAAGUUAAUGGUGAACAGAUAGUAUACACACCAAAUUUUAAGAAGAAAAAUCCUUACAAUGGACGGGGUCAUGAGCACGUUGUAUUUCGGGAAAGGCCGUACAAUGACAUUGUUAAUCAACAAGUUGGUGCGUUCAGCUAGGCAUAAGCCAGUCUGACUCAGCACCCGUGCUAGGCCAUGGAAUUGCAAAUCAAACAUAUGCGUGGAGUCAAGAAAGUCUGUUCCUGCGUUCCUCUGUAUCGCGUCGCUACUAAGCUUACGCACUGCAAGAUCGAAGCAGCUCGGAUUGAUCCAUGUAUCACCUCGCAUGUGUCUUGGAUAGUCCGUAGACUUAACUCGAUCACGAAUGGACGAGGGCUCCUUAUCCAUAUUGUGCUGCAAACAAACCGGCAUGAUAAAAUCAGGGUAUCAUAAAAAUAUUGUACUUCAAUAUGUGGGCAAACAAUACUUAGUAUUCACAACUCUAGAAAGGUCUGAAAUGUAUGUACCUAAAAAUUGGAAUUGUCGUGUCAUUUGAGGAAAUAAAUACUAUUUCGUAAGAUAACCAAAUUUAUUAUGAUAUGUUCGGUUGCAACUUAUUCCUAUUACAGAUAUGAUAAAAUCUAUAGAUGGUACAUGUAUCAUGCACCAGGACCCGUUGCAAUAUACUAUAGUUCAUUGAAAAUUUGUAGUUUAAAAUAACGUGCUGUGGAUGGUACUAACAUGGCGUAAUGUAAAAGGAUAAUAUUAGCGCAUGACCAGAUUUUUGCAACCACUACGUUAGAUCUUAAGAACCAUAUGGACUUAGAAAGGAUCGCAUGAUCCUAACCAGUGCAUGCAUGCAACAACUUAUGAACGUGACCAACUCAUCGACGUGGAUUAGGUGAAAGAACAUAUUUUUACUCGGGUUCAAAAUAAGAUGCCGAUAAUGCAUAAUAUAAUGGUACUGAUCUGCAGCUAAUAAUUGCAAAUAAAUUAUAGAUAUAGUUUAGGGCUGCCAGAACAAACUCUAACUGCUCCUCGACUGAGGAAAGCAUGACGUGGUUGUAUAUGUACUCGACUGCGUCGUUCACUCCAUCAAAAAUCGGCAUUGCAGCCAUUGGCACGGGCAGAAAGUCGUCUUAGCACCAGGACGAGCGAGCGAGGGGGCAGUGGACAACGGUGGACUCACAGCCGGACCAUAUAUAUAAGUGUCCGGCACCAGGCCGGUGACGCAUUAGCAUGUUGUAUGGAUUGGAAGGUGCCCCUUAUUAUUCCAUCCGUGCACGUUUCCAUCAUAGAUCCUUGCUAAUAAAAGGACAAGCAUAUUUUUUCUUCCAAACUCCACUGGGCAAAUAAAUAUACGCCGGAUUAUAUAUCUAUUAUAUAUGUCUCUCUUUCCCGAUCGGAAGAAGCCUAAUAUAACUUUCCUUAAAAACAAAUCCGAUUAAGGGAAUAUUAAUGGCCACACUGGGAAACCCAUUGAACGUAUGGUAGGCCGGACCGGGAGAUUGGGCAAUAUAACGUUUUGGAAGGAAAUGACUUUAAUGAUAAUUAUAAUUCUAAUUGACAUAUCCUCGCCGGGAGGAAUCGUGGGCAUGUACUCGGAAGGUGGCCCAUAUCCUUCCAUAAUUACAAUAUUCCAUAACAAAAACUAUAGGAAAACAUGGUAUAAAAUUAUUUUCAUUGCAUGCUCCACCCGGCAAAUGUAUCAACACCGGAUUAUAUAUUUCCUAAUUUAUGACUCCUUUCCAAACUUUGCCUUCAGAUAUAUAAAAAGAAACAAUUAGUUUAUUUCCCAAAUAUACGUCAAACACGGGCGUCCGAGAAAUAUAAAGAAACACAACGUUUUUUCUUCUUCUAUUUUUGUCCUCCUCACCACGACCAAAAAGCCCGCGCCACUUGAAGAACUAUUGUUUCCGUGUGUAGAAAGAAACACAACACACGGGCAUACGGCAGUCCUUGAUUCCUUUUUGCGCUGCACUGUAUAUUAACAAAUUUGAACCUAGACUGAAAGAGAUUCAUACGUGUAGCUCAAAUGAGAGUAGACAUGCUACCAUUUGAAGUCCAUUAUUGACAGUUUGGUCAUCAAAUAUAUAUUAGUCAAAUAUAUAGUUCAGAACUUCACAUUAUAUGGCUCUGAAAUAUGACGACACUGUUAAAUAGAUUUUUUUUAUUGAAUAUCACAUAUUAUUAAACCUCCAAGACAUAAGCGAACACUUCAUAAUGUGACAAUUGGCAACAAAAUGUUGCAUGCAAAGCGUUCAUACAUUUUUAUAUCCAAGACAAAUUGUGCACUUGUGUACAAAGAUAAUUCUAGCCUCCAUUGUUCCUAGCUUGAACAACACCAUUGACGUACGCACGUGUUUCGUCAAGUGUCAUGAGGCUGGCUUCAUGGAUAUCUAUGAUAAAAAUCAGUGUUAUAUAGUAGUGACAUAGUAAUACAUAAAAAAUACAUUGACAACAAAUUUAAAAUAGAACGCAACCCCUACCUUGUAGAUAAUGAUGAUCAUCAUUAAUGUUAGUAGAGAAGAAGAAUGUGCUCUCCCUCAUAGUUUGCAAGCAUCGCUACCUUCGAUUUACCUGAAUGUAAGUAACAACAAGCUUCUCGAACAGCUUGUCAGUGCAUUGCAAGUGGCAGAAGUUUCGCCCAACGUGCUCUUCACGUACACGUAAGAAAAUUAUCUGCCGUCUAUAGACAAAUACAAAUGUUAGUCUGUCAAUGCAACAAUAAAAUUACAAAAAAAAGCAUAUGAAAAUCUCAAAUCAUAAAUGGCGCUUACUGAAAGUUCAUGACGCCAAUCUCGAGUGAAGGGACGCGGCGUUCAUAUAUUGAAUCCCACUUAUAUUCUAUCUGACCAACGUAGGCAAGGAUAGCAACCACAUCUGCAAAUUUGAAAUCACAAUGAGACGCUGAGUUGUACGGAUUAAUAUGCAAGAACAAAUAUAAAGAUGAUGCACCAGUGAUGGUUUUGUCCCGUAGCUCAAAUAUUUCUCCAAAUUGUGGGAAGCACGGUGGGAAAAUUGUCGACGUUAUUUGCUGUGCCGACAUCCUAACCUCAGUCAUAGCAGUUAGUGUGGUGACAAAGUCAAUGGCUAGGUACCAGAAAUGUCCAUCUGGCAAAUCUGUGGGGUUGAACCCGACGCGAUUGAAAUCAUAGGUCCUACCGGUUUGUAGUAUGCUGUUGAAACGGAUUGCCUGGCUGUUGUACGCAAUCGCUUCCAACUUUGUUCCCUAAUAUAUAUUUAUGAACCAUAACAACUAUGAGCAAAAAAAUACAUGUUUAUCAAAAUUGUAUUUUGAAAAUGUGGGCUAUCAAGUAGAUGAUUAAUGCCUUACCAACCGAUCAAGUAGUAUGCACUGAAGGUACAAGUUUCCCAUGCCAUUCUCUUUGAUGUGAGCCUUCCAUAUGACCCUAGCUUGAAUAAUCCAGCAAUUCCGAUAUAUGUGCUCCAUUUGGACGCGAUGAAAAUUCAAGUUCCUGUGCGUAGAAUAAAAACAAAAGGAUGAGGUAAAAUUAUUUUGCAAGGGGAGGAUAAAAAUAAACAAACAAGGAACAUAACAUUCUAGUGGCCAAACAAUGGUGAUUAUUUCAAUAAAAUAACACAUUAUCUAGUGAUGGCAAAUAUACGUACAAAAAUAUUAUUCUAUCUUGCCUGUUCAUCGGAGGGGUGAUGGGACUGAUGACAGGAACUGGCGGCGACGCCAUCACCCUCUUAGAGGUGAACGAUCCGUAUGAGAUUACCAUUGUAGUCGUGGAGGAGAUGACUUCUCCUCUACAUAAAGAUGGUGACAAAUAUGGUGCAGCGGGGCUUUGUUUAUAUAAGCAUAGGGCGGCGGGAAAACGAAAUAGUGAUGAAAAUUUGUUUUUGACUGGCUAGGCCCCCGUGGGUGACAUAUCUAUAUUAAGAUAUUUAAUAUUUGGCAACCUAUUAAAAAUUGUUUAUUAAUCAAGGAAACAGACAUCUCAAAAUCGGGCCAUGAUCUUUCGUAAUGAUUCAUAUUAUAUUUCAUUAAUGCAAAUUUGUGAUUUAUGAUCACUUGCCUAUGAAAACGUAUCUGAUUUUUCAUUUGCCUAUGAAAAAUUAAUUUUCUUCUAUAUGGAUAUUUCUUAACCUUUAUGAUAAUCACAUUAAUAUAUUUAUUGUUUUCCCUUCUAUUAUGUUAUUUUCCAUUACCUUGAUGAUAUCUUUAAUUAUGUUAUAGGUUAUUGCCCGUGCGCAGCUACGGGACAAAUGUUAAUUUUAGUAUUUUCAAAUAAAUCAUGUAUAACACAUAAAUUUACGAUCCUAAUGUAUAUCAAAAAAUAUAAUUGGACUGCAAAUAUUUCAGUCAGACACAGCUUUGCAAAAGAUCAUAUUGUUUAUUCUUUUUCAUCAUAACAAUCUAUACAACGCACAUACGUACAAAUGAUAAACAAUAGUAGAGCACCAAAAGAUAAUAGUAGUAGAAGUACACGCUCCCAUAGCUAGCACACAACAUAAUUUUGUCUAUCUAUGCCUAUGCAUUAGUAGCAACGGUAUUAGACACAUGCCACUCUCUGUCCAUGCAUUAGCAGAACAGCACAAGAGCGGCAUAAUUCGGUCAAAAAAAUGGCUCAUCUCUCGCUCUGUCUCCCGAACGGAGCAGCAGAAGCCAGCAAGCCCAUGGCGGCGUCGGCCCCCUGCCCGUCCCUCUCUUAUCUCCCUACACCUCGAAACGAACUGAUCCCCUCCAGCAGCGGCCGAAGCCACCGUCCUUCUAGCAGCUCCAGGUAUCCAGCCUCGGCGGCCACGCAAACGCGCGGAUGUAGACAAUAUGAUCAUGGUCAUGCCGUGUCAAACGAUGUAGGCAUAAGCAGAGUACAUGACAUUAAACAAAUUAGUCCAAAAAUGUGUUCCACGCUGUAGAAUUCAGACAAAGAAAAUCAGUGAAAGGAUAAAAACUUAUAUCAUAAAGGGUUUGUUUCAUCCUCAAAUCUUAUUGUAUAUCCUACUUCUUCUCCAAGUUCCACACCAACUUCUUCAGCUACUCUAGAUGCAAGCGUAUGUUCAAAUUAUUAAAAUGGGUUGAAAAGGUAAUUGAGAGCAGAGGAUAUGCAUCUACAAAGGUAGUCUAAUAGCAGGAAAAAAAUUAAAACAUUUUCAGCUACCAUCUUCUAAGCAGUACAGUUAUGGUUCUAUCAGCUGACUGCUCCGUAUAGGAUGUUAGAAAUCACUGCCGGAGCACAUGAAUAAUUUUGCAGGAUGAAGUCUCCUGUUACAGAUACACUUUUGGGCACUAUGGCCACUACCACAUGGCAACACUGUCACAAACGGGUAGGUCACAAAGGGGAAGCUGGAUAAAUCUCCGUGGCUGAGGCCAGAGAAAGUCCUCCAAGCUUAUCUUUUACUAGUUAUCAAUCUCUAAUAAUUUAUUUAUUUGAUUCAUGUUGCCCGGGUUUGAUUCAUGUUGCACCAGAAAAUCCAUAAGUAAUACAGAAGCUUGCUCUAGAUAAUUAGCUAAGAGCCUUAGUCGCCAUGCUAGUUGCUAAGGACGUACCCAAAAGAAUAUAAUCUGGUGCAUGCUAUUAUUAGAAGGUAAAUAGAGAAACCUAGUAUUAAAUGGCAUCUAGAGAAGGAUAAACAUUUUGAUGAACAUUUAAACAGUUGAUACCUGCACAGCCAAUCGUCUUGGCUGGGUGCAACCUAUAAGUCGACCACCCCCAGCCCAACCAGCAUCAUUAAAAUACUGCAGAACGAUGCUUCCUCUCUGAACCAAUACUCGCCAGGUCCUAGAUUAAUGCAGCCUUAUACAAUUUUUUAGGUUAGAACUCUUUCAGAUCCGCAGUAAACUCAUGAAGGUACAUGAGCCAAUGCAAGAAAUUAAAAUAAAACUUGAGCUGAACUGAUAAAUAAUUAGUUUAGAUACGUGAAAGUACAAAUAAUCAAUCUUUUUUCCAAAAUAUUGCACACUUCAGCGAUCAGACACGUGCAUUGUCACAUUCUCCAGAGUAGCACGUGCAUUUGAACAUAUUUGCAAGUACGCAGGCUACCAUUUUAUUAUUUAUUAGAUGUACAUAUGCAAAAUAUAUCUUGAAAAGCUACACAAACUUCCCUUCUGCGUGUGUUGGUCUUAUAAUUCAGACCAAUCAUAAUCCUAUACUUCUGACAUAUCAGAAUAAUACAGGGAUAAUAAGGACGCCAAUAAAUUUACAUUCAACCAUACUAUCAAAAUACCAAAAUAAUAACAAUGGAUAUGAUCACUUGCCGUAACACAAAAGUUUCAUUGCAUGUUCAAGGUAUUUUUCAGGCCAAUCAUUAUAUCUGAAUCACAUAUCACACAUGAAAUACUACGGUGGGUGACAUGUACACUGCCAGAAACAUUGCGAUAGUAGAAAAGAUAUAACAGCGAUGAUGGUGCCAACAUGACGGCUGAUUAUUGAAAUGCAUUUAGUAGCUCAACUAAAUGGAGUAUACAUCCAACUAUCAAAAUACCAAAUAAAAAGGAUAUAUGUAAAAACGAAUUACAAUAAAUCUUGACCAUCACAAGAGUAAAUGUUGCGUCAUUAGAUAACCUGCCGGUCUAUUAAGACCGGACUUCAGCCUGUAAGGACUUCCUUGUAGACGAUGUUCUUCAUCGAGGUUAGUAAGGACACGGUCGGACUUUUUCGCUUCUUUGGAUUGUCCUUUUGCUUGUUGGACUUCUCCUUCGGCUUCUCCUUUUGAAUGAGUAUCUUUAUGUUUCUCUUUGCGGUGGCUCGAGACAAAGCAACAUAGAGCUGAUCAUGAGAGAACACGGGAUUGGGUAGGUAGACACCAACAAUCGGGAUUGUCUGCCCUUGAGCCUUGUUAAUGGUCAUAGCAAAGCUAAGCCUUAUAGGAAAUUGCUUCCUCUUAAACUUGAACGGAAACAUGUCGUUUUCAGAUGGGCAGAGAGGUAUUCGAGGAAGGAAGACCCUCCUGCCAGCGUGUUGUCCAAUCACGAUUUCGGCAUCAAUGGUGUUCCUCUCAAAACCUCUAUCAACAAGCCUAGUGCCGUUACACAAUCCAUUUGCUGGAUCAAUGUUCCUUAGAAGUAUGACAAGGCAGUUCAGCUUUAGCUUGAGUGCAUCCGGAGGAAGACCGUUAGGAGUCAAUCCAUUCAGAAAUUCCUGAGCGUAGUAGCCAUAUGGGUCGUCCUCCGCACUGUCAAAGCUAUGGUAUAUUACUUCAUCUCCCUGAAAACGCUCUAUCAUGCGUAUGUUUAUCUUGUCGACAUUGUCGUUUGUCGUGGAAAGGAUUGCUCGAGAUGUCAUGUAAUUUGAAUCAGACAUGUUGUCAUCUAGACUCGGAAACACGUGGUGAAUAAGCUUCUCCAGGUCGUCAACCUCGCCUGUAGACGGCAGACAAAUGUCUUCAGGGGGAAGUAUGUUGCCUUGAUCGUCGACUUCCUCAGUGCCAUUGCCGACCCUUAGCAAGUAAUUUGCAAACCACGUGUCAUUAUGAGCCCUCAUGUUGGUGAUGAGCCGAAGCUGCCGCAUACCCUUCCAUAGAUGAGAACUUCGUAGGGUUGCAUCAAUUAUCUGGCCCCGCGACCCCCUUCUGACGACCGGAAGCACCUGCCUAAAGUCCCCGCCAAAAACAACAGUCUUUCCUCCAAAGGGUUGGUCACGUAUUCCCAUGAUGUCGCGCAUGCUAUUGUCCAAUGCCUCGACCGCUUGUCGUUUCGUCAUGCUGGCCUCGUCCCAUAUUAUCAAUGAGGCCAUCCUAAGCAGCUUGGCGGUCCCACUCUGCUUCGUGAAGCUGCACGAGGCUCCAUCAUCGCAACUCAAUGGGAUCUUGAACCUCGAGUGGGCAGUCCUGCCACCAGGCAUGAUAGAAGCGGCGACGCCCGACGUCGCGGUAGCGAUACCAAUCUUGCCAUCGCUCCUCACCUUGGCAAGAAUCGCCCUGUAUAGAAAGGUCUUCCCUGUACCUCCAGGGCCAUCAAUAAAGAAUACACCCCCAUCACCGCGUUCUAACAGUCGCUAGUAUCUCGUCGUAUGCGGCACUCUGCUCCAAGUUCAGGGAAGAUGCCAAUUUAGUGUCAUGCACGUCAAACUCAACGGUUGAUUCCUCGAUGACCUCUCUUGCCUCACCCUCGGUUGGGUCAAACGCAUCAUCUAUGCUUUGAAGAGCGAAAUCAACAAUGUCUUUACCCAUAGAUUGCAACAUACCCCUAAUGUCAAGCAACACCAUCUGCUCCACCUCGACAGGGGACGUGCGUGAUCGAUGAUAGUCAUCUGACAUAGGAUCGAGGUGCCUAUGCCAUAAACCAUGCACUUCGCCUGGCUCGCAGUGCACCAAGAUGGUUGCGAAGAGCCUCCUAAGAGAACAUGGCAUCACCCACUGCUCAGCCUCAGUAAGACAGUCGUCGAGCGUGUUGUCUGCCUCGAUGAGUCCCAACCUUUCAGCAGCCUCUCUAAAGCUCCCACAUAGAACGCCGUCCAUGGUGAGCAAGUCAUCGAAGGAUGUUUUUCCCGUAACAUGGUUUAGCAACACAUGCAGGUAGUAUCGGUCACCCUCGGCAGGAUUGGCAGACACGAUGCGACCUAUUUGAAAACGCUCGACCCGCGGCUUCCAAAACUUCUUUUUCUUCUGCCACGUGAAGCUUCCAGGAAAAUCCUUGUACAAUAUAUGCCUAGCCCGAGGGUGUUCCUGGUUAGCCUUGAAAUACUCCGUUAACAUGGAUUUUGAAUUAU